rnacentral:rRNA from 1 species
UACGAAGGGGGCUAGCGUUGCUCGGAAUCACUGGGCGUAAAGGGCGCGUAGGCGGCCGAUUAAGUCGGGGGUGAAAGCCUGUGGCUCAACCACAGAAUUGCCUUCGAUACUGUCGAGCUUGAGACCGGAAGAGGUAAGUGGAACUGCGAGUGUAGAGGUGAAAUUCGUAGAUAUUCGCAAGAACACCAGUGGCGAAGGCGGCUUACUGGUCCGGUUCUGACGCUGAGGCGCGAAAGCGUGGGGAGCAA